rnacentral:tRNA from 1 species
GCUCCCAUGGCGUAGUGGUCACUGCGCUCGCCUUGCACGCGAGGGACCCGGGUUCGAUUCCCGGCGGGGUCA